AGCCUUCUGUAUCCGUGCUGAGAUUUCGUCACACACCAGGCCACAAGGGCUGAUGAGAUUCCCAAAUGUUAGUGUAUGAAAGGAG
rfam:Schistosoma rodhaini strain Burundi genome assembly, scaffold: SROB_scaffold0003349